rnacentral:rRNA from 1 species
CAAGAAUAUUAGCAAUGCUCGCAAGAGUGAACUAGCUAACUGAAAUAAUUAUCUCAGAGUAAAUAUUACCUGUGAACUAUUAUAAUCGAGGGAAAAAUUUGAUAGUACCAUCGAAAUUAGUGUUGUCCAAUCCUGGUGCCAGAAGACUCGGUUAGACCAGAGAACACAAACGUUAAUCAUCAUUAUCAGGCGUAAAGGGUUUGUAGGCUGCUUUUAAUUAAUAGCUUUCGCCUUUGGCGAAAGCAUAAUAUUAAUAAUAAAAAAGCUAGGAUCAUAUAGAGGAAAUUCAAAUAAUACUUGGGGUAGGAUUAAUAACCGCAAAACUCAAGCGGAGUACUAAAAGGUGAAAACUUUUUUUCCACUACUGAUUGACGCUGAGAGACGAAGGUGGUAAUAGAAAAUUGGAUUUGAUACCCAGAUAUCUUCCACAGUCAACGAUGAAUGGUAGUUUGCUAAUCGCUUAAAGUUUGUGAUUAGCCUCUAAGUUAACACGUUAACCAUUCCGCCUUGCGAGUACGGUUGCAAAACUGAAACCCAAAAAAAUUAG